UACGUAGGUGGCAAGCGUUGUCCGGAUUUAUUGGGUUUAAAGGGUGCGUAGGCGGCCUAUUAAGUCAGUGCUGAAAUAUCCCGGCUUAACCGGGAGGGUGGCAUUGAUACUGAUGGGCUUGAGUAGAGUCGAGGUAGGCGGAAUUGACGGUGUAGCGGUGAAAUGCUUAGAUAUCGUCAAGAACACCGAUAGUGUAGACAGCUUACUAGGCUCAAACUGACGCUGAGGCACGAAAGUGUGGGGAUCAAACAGG
rnacentral:rRNA from 1 species